rnacentral:tRNA from 1 species
GGAGAGGUGGCUCAGAGGUUAAGAGCACUGACUGUUCUUCCAGAGGUCCUGAGUUCAAUUCCCAGCACCUACA